rnacentral:rRNA from 1 species
UGAACGCUGGCGGCGUGCUUAACACAUGCAAGUCGAACGAACCUUCGGGUUAGUGGCGGACGGGUGAGUAACGCGUGAGAAUCUGCCCUCAGGAGGGGGAUAACGGUUGGAAACGACCGCUAAUACCCCAUAUGCCUACUGGUGAAAUGAAUUUCGCCUGAGGAUGAGCUCGCGUCUGAUUAGCUAGUUGGUGAGGUAAUGGCUCACCAAGGCUUCGAUCAGUAGCUGGUCUGAGAGGAUGAUCAGCCACACUGGGACUGAGACACGGCCCAGACUCCUACGGGAGGCAGCAGUGGGGAAUUUUCCGCAAUGGGCGAAAGCCUGACGGAGCAACGCCGCGUGAGGGACGAAGGCCUCUGGGCUGUAAACCUCUUUUCUCAAGGAAGAAGAUAUGACGGUACUUGAGGAAUAAGCCACGGCUAAUUCC